AUUGAACGCUGGCGGCAGGCCUAACACAUGCAAGUCGAGCGGAGCGGCGGACGGGUGAGUAAUGACUAGGAAUCUGCCUGGUAGUGGGGGAUAAAGUCCGGAAACGGGCGCUAAUACUGCAGACUAUCAGAUGAGACUAGGUCGGAUUAGAUAGUUGGUGGGGUAAAGGCCUACCAAGGCGACGAUCCGUAACUGGUCUGAGAGGAUGAUCAGUCACACGGGAACUGAGACACGGUCCAGACGCCGACGUGAGGCAGCAGUGGGUAAUAUUGGACAAUGGGCGAAAGCCUGAUCCAGCCAUGCCGCGUGUGUGAAGAAGGUCUUCGGAUUGUAGAGCACUUUAAGUUGGGAGGCGUUACCAACAGAAUAAGCACCGGCUAACUUCGUGCCAGCAGCCGCGGUAAUAC
rnacentral:rRNA from 1 species